rnacentral:rRNA from 1 species
AGUGAACGCUGGCGGUAGGCCUAACACAUGCAAGUCGAACGGCAGCACAGUAAGAGCUUGCUCUUACGGGUGGCGAGUGGCGGACGGGUGAGGAAUACAUCGGAAUCUACUUUUUCGUGGGGGAUAACGUAGGGAAACUUACGCUAAUACCGCAUACGACCUACGGGUGAAAGCAGGGGAUCUUCGGACCUUGCGCGAUUGAAUGAGCCGAUGUCGGAUUAGCUAGUUGGCGGGGUAAAGGCCCACCAAGGCGACGAUCCGUAGCGGGUCUGAGAGGAUGAUCAGCCACACUGGAACUGAGACACGGUCCAGACUCCUACGGGAGGCAGCAGUGGGGAAUAUUGCACAAUGGGCGCAAGCCUGAUCCAGCCAUACCGCGUGGGUGAUGAAGGCCUUCGGGUUGUAAAGCCCUUUUAUUGGGAAAGAACAACUGCAGGUUUAUACCCCGCUGUUUUGACGGUACCCAAAGAAUAAGCACCGGCUAACUUCGUG